AACGAACGCUGGCGGCAUGCCUAACACAUGCAAGUCGAACGAGACCUUCGGGUCUUGUGGCGCACGUGUGCGUAACGCGUGGGAACCUGCCCUUAGGUUCGGUAUCACUCCCCGAAGGGGAUGCUAAUACCGCUUAGUCUCUUCCCACCUAAGAUUUAUCGCCUUUUGAUGGGCCCGCGUUGGAUUAGCUAGUUGGUAGGGUACAAGCCUACCAAGGCGACGAUGCAUAGCUGGUCUGUUAGGAUGAUCAACUACAAUGGACAUGAGACACGGCCCAGACUGCGACGGAGGGGAGCAGUGGGGAAUAUUAGACAAUGGGCGAAAGCCUGAUCAAGCAAUGCCGCGGGUGAGAGGAAGGCCGUAGGGUUGUAAAGCUCUUUGACCCGGGAUGAGAAUGACAGUAACGGGAGAAGAAGCUCCGGCUAACUACGUG
rnacentral:rRNA from 1 species